CAGAGUUCAGAGGUAUCCAAAUCAUCAACUGCUAAGCUAAGGGUGACAAGUUGAGCACAAUCAUCCUGUAGCAAUGUGGUGAUGUCCAAGCCUUCCACUAGAAUCUUCAUUGAUGUGCAAGCUUAGAAAUAGAUUCUCCUAAGGACAUGGGUCCCCACAAUGGAACCUGAACUCUGAGGCAGACUGAGCAUACAUGGCCUCCCUCCUGCUCCGACCGGGAGAAGCACCUGCUCCUGUUCUCUGUCCACUUACCUGGUGACACACAGCACAGGCUCUGUAGACACUUCAAGAGAUAUCACUGCUGCCAUCCUUGGUCAAGUAAACUUCUACAUGCAGUGGGCACCAGUUACUACAGAGACUCACAACUGGUCAAAAAAUACUGUGAAAAUGAGACUGCUGAACACUCACCUAUAAAAGUGAUAUCUAAUAUCCCCUCCAAUCUCAGGGAAUAUUACAGAAAAGGGGCUGAAAUGAUGUAAGAACAGGAGGAAGAGGGAAGAGUGCUGUGAAUGCUGUCCUCCAAGAAUGACAUGCCAUUGCCUUUUUGAACUUUCAGGAGCCAUGAUUACCUGUAUGAGAUUCACAGAAUAUUGGGCCCAUUAAUGUCUGUCAUGAAGAAAGAAGGACUGACCCCUUCCUGAAUAAAUAA